GGGCGUAAGCGCAUGCAGGUGGUUUGUUAAGUCAGAUGUGAAAGCCCGGGGCUCAUCCUCGGAACCGCAUUUGAAACUGGCAGGCUAGAGUACUGUAGAGGGGGGUAGAAUUUCAGGUGUAGCGGUGAAAUGCGUAGAGAUCUGAAGGAAUACCAGUGGCGAAGGCGGCCCCCUGGACAGAUACUGACACUCAGAUGCGAAAGCGUGGGGAGCAAACAGGAUUAGAUACCCUGGUAGUCCACGCCGUAAACGAUGUCUACUUGGAGGUUGUGGCCUUGAGCCGUGGCUUUCGGAGCUAACGCGUUAAGUAGACCGCCUGGGGAGUACGGUCGCAAGAUUAAAACUCAAAUGAAUUGACGGGGGCCCGCACAAGCGGUGGAGCAUGUGGUUUAAUUCGAUGCAACGCGAAGAACCUUACCUACUCUUGACAUCCAGAGAACUUAGCAGAGAUGCUUUGGUGCCUUCGGGAACUCUGAGACAGGUGCUGCAUGGCUGUCGUCAGCUCGUGUUGUGAAAUGUUGGGUUAAGUCCCGCAACGAGCGCAACCCUUAUCCUUGUUUGCCAGC
rnacentral:rRNA from 1 species